ensembl:miRNA
CUGCACUGUGGGAUGAGGUAGUAGGUUGUAUAGUUUUAGGGUCAUACCCACAACUGGGAGAUAACUAUACAAUCUACUGUCUUUCCUAAAGCAGCAGA